GACGAACGCUGGCGGCGUGCUUAACACAUGCAAGUCGAACGGAAAGGCCCUGCUUUUGUGGGGUGCUCGAGUGGCGAACGGGUGAGUAACACGUGAGUAACCUGCCCUUGACUUUGGGAUAACUUCAGGAAACUGGGGCUAAUACCGGAUAGGAGCUCCUGCUGCAUGGUGGGGGUUGGAAAGUUUCGGCGGUUGGGGAUGGACUCGCGGCUUAUCAGCUUGUUGGUGGGGUAGUGGCUUACCAAGGCUUUGACGGGUAGCCGGCCUGGGAGGGUGACCGGGCACAUUGGGACUGAGGUACGGCCCAGACUCCUACGGGAGGCAGCAGUGGGGAAUAUUGCACAAUGGGCGGAAGCCUGAUGCAGCAACGCCGCGUGCGGGAUGACGGCCUUCGGGUUGUAAACCGCUUUCGCCUGUGACGAAGCGUGAGUGACGGUAAUGGGUAAAGAAGCACCGGCUAACUACGUG
rnacentral:rRNA from 1 species